rnacentral:rRNA from 1 species
GACGUAGGGCGCGAGCGUUUGUCCGGAUUUAUUGGGCGUAAAGAGCUCGUAGGCGGCUUGUCGCGUUCGACCGUGAAAACUUGGGGCUCAACCCCAAGCCUGCGGUCGAUACGGGCAGACUAGAGUGCGGUAGGGGAGAUCGGAAUUCCUGGUGUAGCGGUGAAAUGCGCAGAUAUCAGGAGGAACACCGGUGGCGAAGGCGGAUCUCUGGGCCGUAACUGACGCUGAGGAGCGAAAGCAUGGGGAGCGAACAGG